CCUACGGGGGACUGCAGUGAGGAAUAUUGGUCAAUGGACGCAAGUCUGAACCAGCCAUGCCGCGUGCAGGAAGACGGCUCUAUGAGUUGUAAACUGCUUUUGUACGAGGGUAAACGCAGAUACGCGUAUCUGUGUGAAAGUAUCGUACGAAUAAGGCUCCGCCAAAUCCGUGACAGCAGCCGCGGUAAUACGGAGGAUUCAACCGUUAUCCGGAUUUAUUGGGUUUAAAGGGUGCGUAGGCGGUCGGAUAAGUUAGAGGUGAAAUCCCGAGGCUCAACUGCGGAAUUGCCUCUGAUACUGUUCGGCUAGAGAGUAGUGGCGGUAGGCGGAAUGUAUGGUGUAGCGGUGAAAUGCUUAGAGAUCAUACAGAACACCGAUUGCGAAGGCAGCUUACCAAGCUACUUCUGACGUUGAGGCACGAAAGCGUGGGGAGCAAACAGGAUUAGAUACCCCAGUAGUC
rnacentral:rRNA from 1 species